UACCCUCCGUCGUCUACCCAUUUAGCGAGUUACCCGCUUUCGGACUUCGUCGUUGCGGCGCACGCGCUACUUCCAGAAGCCUAGCAUUUCGCGAAAAGACGCUCUACUCUUUCCUGUCAUAGCAUCCUUAUUCAGAGCCGAUUGAUGCACGGUCGUCGGCGCCAUUA
rnacentral:rRNA from 1 species